rnacentral:lncRNA from 1 species
GGAGGACAAUGUUUACUUCACGCCUGAUAAAAAUUCAUAUCAAGAAAAAGAUAAAAAGUAAAAGGCAUAAGACAGGAGGCUCUCUGUUGCUGCUGAUUGUCUCAGUCUUGCUGUCCUGCCCCCUCAGUCUAGCACUGGGCUUACAGGUGACCUGAUGGCUCAGAAUGGCUAGUCUAGUUUCGAUCACUGUGCUGAUAUUCAGAAAACAAGAAGGUGUAGCAAAUACAGAAGAGAGCAAAGUACAGCACAGGUACCCCUCAAUCAAAUAUAUAUAUUCUCAAAUAGUCAAUAU